CUUUCAAGAGCAGCUGCAGAAGAUGGACGAAGUAGUAGAAGCCGAGCCCUCUCCCUUCUCUCAAACCAGCUCUAGCAGGACCCCUGAAGAUUCCGUCUUCUACGCCAUCUUUCCCGAUUUCUCCAUCCACUCCUCCAAAACCCUAAAACCCACCGCCACCUCCAACGCCUACGACUGCCUGAAUCAACUCUCUUCUUCCUUCCCCUCUCUCCAUGUCCAAGUCCUCGAUGCAGUGUCCCCUUACCUCUCUGAUUAUAUUUGGCAGCACGAGGCCUUUAAUCUCUCUCUCUCCUCCAUCCCCAAACCCAACUGUCUCUGCUCUUCCCAAAUUCCUCAUCUCCAUGGGAAGGUCCGCUACGGCGAUAACCUGGAAGAUGAAUGGUUCGUUGUCUUCCUCCUCUUCGAGAUUACUCGCAGAUUCCCCUCUGUUUCGGUUCGAGUGUGGGAUACGGAUGGAGAGUUUCUAUUGAUUGAAGCUGCUUACUCUUUACCUCGCUGGAUAAAGCCUGAAAACAGUUCCAAUCGGGUGUUCAUUAGGCAGGGUGAGCUUCAUAUUGUACCAAAAGAACGGUUUCCUUCGAAUCCGAGCUUGUACGAUUCAUUGAGGUUUCUGGCGACUGCUGGUGUGGAAUCUCGGGCAUCGGAUUCUGUUCAAUCCGUUUUGAGAAAACGGAUUUCAGGUUAUCCGGAAAGAGCCCGGGCAAAUAUGCAUCAAGUCAGGGUUAGGGUUCCGGUCUCUGUGGCUCAGGUUCUGAAACAUGAGCCUUGCUUGAUUUCGUUGGCAGUUGAAGGUUUCUACGAUCGCGACAUUGAUACAAUGAAGUAUGCUGCUCGGAUGGAGAAAUUUCUAAGUGGGGGAAGUGGAGAAGAACUUGUUCAGAUAUCCGUUCGAAUGUCAAGAGCAAUGUAUGGGCAGCUGGUGCAGCAGACAUUUCAGGCGCCCAAGUGGUACCCUAUGCCGCCCAGGACCGAUGCGUCUGCGUAUAUGGAAGCGGAACUGGGGAUGAAGAUAGCGUGUGGGUUCGAGAUGAUGUAUCAGCAGAGACGUCGCAAUGGAUUGGAAGGGAAGGGGAGCACCUGGGAUGUGUUCCUAAAGAGCCUAGAAAGUAGUGGGUACUUUGCAGGACUUCUUCCUGGAUCAAAGGAGUAUCGUAGACUAAUGGAAAGUGCCCAAGAGUACUACCGAAAUAGUUCAGCAUUUUCUAGGACCAGUGAAAUGAUGAAUGCUCCAGUGAAACGCAUUGGUGAAAUUCUUGCUUUACCCCAUUCUGCUGAUGACUUCAAGGGUGUAAGCCUUCCUCCUUCGGAUGAUGAUUCUUGGCUCUACAGUGGAGAGGAUGACCUAAACUCAGCUAUUCUAGAGAGGCAGAAAGAAAUGGAAUUUUAUGAAUUAAACCGUAAGAAGAAGAAUAAAUCAAGUGAUCAGCAGGAAGCUGGUUAUUCUUCCAGCAUGCAAUUGGAUGAUUUUGAUCUUGGUGAUAUAACAAGAAACAUGAAAGCAUUUGUUAACAAGGUCUCUAGUUAUGAGGGAGCAGAGGUUCCUGAAAACAGCAACUUAAAAGCAGUAGAUCUGAAUGUGGAACGCUUCAUUAAAGAUAUGGAAUUAGCAAUACGAUGUGCCAGUUCUGAACAAAUGAACAUCGAAGAAGGAUCAUCAUCUGAUAUGGACUUUGAUGACUCUGAAGAUGAGAGUGAUAUUGAGAAUCCUCCUGAGGAUAAUGGGGGUAGAGAAGAUGCAUUUAUGUCUUCCUACUCUGCUGCUCUAAAUGACGAACUGAAGUCCACCACUCUCAAGAAAAGUUUCAUUCGCACAAAUGAACAAUCUUCCAAGAAUAUUGAGGGAACGUCAAAUUCAAUGGAGGACAUGGAUGAAGAAUUUAGUCCUAUUGAUGUGGAUGUGAAUCUUGUGAAAAGUGUUUUGGAUUCCUUCUCCUCUCAACAAGGUCUACCUGGUCCUGCUUCCAGUUUGCUUGGACUUAUGGGUCUUCAGCUCCCUCAGGAAACACGAAAAGACAAAUAGAAUCAUUUAAUCAUCCUAUGCUUGUGAGUUGUACCAUUUUACCAUUCAAGGUUUUCAUGCUUCAUGUGAGAAAUGGUUUGAUAUUUCAGAAUGUGAGGAGAUGUGGAGUGGAUUCUUCAAAAAUGAUCAGAUGUUCAGUGGAUGGCUCAACAUACAAAGGAGCUGAAUGCAUUAUUGCUGAUAAAAAAUGGGACUUUGGAAGUAGAACUUUUGGCAAUAUAUGAUGCAGUUCAGAUAACAUGGGGGUAAAAUGUGGAAAAUAAAUUGUAGAAUCAGAUUCGCUAUUAGCAUUUCAAGCUCUUAAUGGUUCUGAAUAGAGUUGCUCAUGCGGUUGCUCAAAGUCCAAGGUUUUUGGUUCUGUCUCUUUGGUGGGAUGUGUCAAUCUGUUUGGCUUCUAUUAACUUUGUAAACUCCCGUUUCUGGUUAGUUAAUAUUAUGGCAUAUUUGUCUAGGCUCUUAUCCGUUGGAUUUA